rnacentral:rRNA from 1 species
GACGUAGGGCGCGAGCGUUGUCCGGAUUUAUUGGGCGUAAAGAGCUCGUAGGCGGCUUGUCGCGUCGUCCGUGAAAACCUGGGGCUCAACCCCAGGCUUGCGGUCGAUACGGGCAGGCUCGAGUUCGGUAGGGGAGACUGGAAUUCCUGGUGUAGCGGUGAAAUGCGCAGAUAUCAGGAAGAACACCCGUGGCUAAGGCGGCUCUCUAGUACGGUACUGACGCUGAGACGCGAAAGCGUGGGGAGCGAACAGG